rnacentral:sRNA from 1 species
ACCAGGCAUGGUAGUGCACACCUGUAAUCCCAGCUACUUGAGAGGUUGAGGCAAGAGGAUUGCAAGCUCAAAGCCAGAGUCAGCAACUUAGCAAGACCCUGUCUCAA